rnacentral:tRNA from 63 species
GUCUCGGUAGCUCAGCUGGUUAGAGCGGCGGAUUCAUAGCCCGCAGGUCGCGUGUUCAAGUCACGCUCGAGACA